UACGAAGGGGGGCUAGCGUUGCUCGGAAUCACUGGGCGUAAAGCGCACGUAGGCGGCUUCUUAAGUCAGGGGUGAAAUCCUGGAGCUCAACUCCAGAACUGCCUUUGAUACUGAAGAUCUUGAGUUCGGGAGAGGUGAGUGGAACUGCGAGUGUAGAGGUGAAAUUCGUAGAUAUUCGCAAGAACACCAGUGGCGAAGGCGGCUCACUGGCCCGAUACUGACGCUGAUGCACGAAAGCGUGGGGAGCAAACAGG
rnacentral:rRNA from 1 species